CCCAACCAUGGGCUUACCCUUCCCAAUCAUGGCAACCAUCAUGCUUCUUAACCAUCCCAACCAUGGGCUUACCCUUCCCAAUCAUGGCAACCAUCAUGCUUCUUAACCAUCCCAACCAUGGGCUUACCCUUCCCAAUCAUGGCAACCAUCAUGCUUCUUAACCAUCCCAACCAUGGGCUUACCCUUCCCAAUCAUGGCAACCAUCAUGCUUUUUAACCAUCCCAACAAUGGGCUUACCCUUCCCAAUCAUGGCAACCACCAUGCUUCUUAACCAUCCCAACCAUGGGCUUACCCUUCCCAAUCAUGGCAACCAUCAUGCUUCUUAAGCAUCCCAACCAUGGGCUUACCCUUCCCAAUCAUGGCAACCAUCAUGCUUCUUA